rnacentral:rRNA from 1 species
GUGAGGAAUAUUGCGCAAUGGAGGCAACUCUGACGCAGCCAUGCCGCGUGCAGGAAGAAGGCGCUACGCGUUGUAAACUGCUUUUAACCGGGAAGAAACCCCAGGACGUGUCCUGGGUUGACGGUACCGGAGGAAUAAGCACCGGCUAACUUCGUGCCAGCAGCCGCGGUAAUACGAAGGGUGCAAGCGUUAUCCGGAUUCAUUGGGUUUAAAGGGUGCGUAGGCGGAGCGUUAAGUCAGUGGUGAAAUCCUGCAGCUUAACUGUAGACUUGCCAUUGAUACUGGCGCUCUUGAGUGCGCUUGAAGUGGGCGGAAUGUGCCGUGUAGCGGUGAAAUGCUUAGAUAUGGCACAGAACACCAAUUGCGAAGGCAGCUCACUAAGGCGAUACUGACGCUGAGGCACGAAAGCGUGGGGAUCGAACAGGAUUAGAAACCUUGUAGUCC